rnacentral:rRNA from 1 species
GCAGCAGUAGGGAUCUUCCGCAAUGGGCGAAAGCCUGACGGAGCAACGCCGCGUGAGUGAUGAAGGGUUUCGGCUCGUAAAACUCUGUUAUUAGGGAAGAACAAAUGUGUAAGUAACUGUGCACAUCUUGACGGUACCUAAUCAGAAAGCCACGGCUAACUACGUGCCAGCAGCCGCGGUAAUACGUAGGUGGCAAGCGUUAUCCGGAAUUAUUGGGCGUAAAGCGCGCGUAGGCGGUUUCUUAAGUCUGAUGUGAAAGCCCACGGCUCAACCGUGGAGGGUCAUUGGAAACUGGGAAACUUGAGUGCAGAAGAGGAAAGUGGAAUUCCAUGUGUAGCGGUGAAAUGCGCAGAGAUAUGGAGGAACACCAGUGGCGAAGGCGACUUUCUGGUCUGUAACUGACGCUGAUGUGCGAAAGCGUGGGGAUCAAACAGGAUUAGAUACCCUGGUAGUCCACGCCGUAAACGAUGAGUGCUAAGUGUUAGGGGGUUUCCGCCCCUUAGUGCUGCAGCUAACGCAUUAAGCACUCCGCCUGGGGAGUACGACCGCAAGGUUGAAACUCAAAGGAAUUGACGGGGCCCCC